CUUAAGAAAUACAAAUGGUACACUUUGUUUAUAUUACUCAGAUUGUUAUGCGAUAAUUGGUCACUAACAGUUAAGGGAUACCGCAAAUGAUGUUGCAGGAGAUGUUCAGUUACUUCUGAAGAUCAGAGAUGAUUUUUGCCUAAGUCAAACUUUGGGAUAUCCCUAACAUGUAUUGUCUGGUUCUUUGUGUUUAUUUUGGCAUUAAGUACAAAUUUAAGUAUUUCCAUGAAGAGACUCAAGCGCAAUCAUAAUUUUCACAAGACUAGGUCAUAUGUUGGCUAUGCAAGCAUUUGCUGACUAUUUGCUGUACAGGAACACAGGCCUCACAAGGAUGGCUCUGGGAACAUUAUGCAAAGGGAGUUAUUAAGAAAUUAGCUUUAUGAUCCCUCUGGGGUAUCUUCCUCCGCCUGUGCAAUGAAGAGAGUGGUUUGGAGGAGGCUUGUGGCCUUUAACAUUUUAUGUGUAUAAGGAUCACUGUCAUCCAGACAUUGGAACUGUUAAAAUUCCAUGGCACUCUACCAGAGUAAUUGUGACCCAGCUUUAUUUCUUUAAAUGCAGUUAAGGUUUUGCUGAAUUUUUAGUGUUUAAGAGACUGCGUUGGGGGUACCAGUUGAUAGGAAGAGAAAAUAACAGGUUUCUGCCCCUGAGUUGACACUCUUGAGUGGAGCACAACUGUGCACGGUGAGCCAAAGGGUGAGGCAGGCCUUGUGGUUGAUUUUAGGGUAUGUGAGGAUCAGUUGUAGGAAACGAGACAGGAAACAUAUUCAGGGAAUAGAUUGUAGGGACCUUGAUUGCCCUUUUGGGACACAAGGCUUCAUUCCAUUAAAAAGUGAAUUAGCAUUAAUAAGGGAAGGCUUGGGCUGAUUUAGGCCUACCUGAGAAUGACCUUUGACCUCCUACACUCUAUGUCCUUGAAAACAGUAAAAGUUAAGAUAAUUGGGGGAUGUUGUGCUUGCCUUGAUUGUCACAUGGAGCUGUCCCUCCAUUGGGAAGCUGUGAAUUGGCCUGGGGACAUUUGGCAUGCCUGAGGGUAGUAUAAAAGAUUGACAGGAAAAGGGGCUGUGGCUUUUUUCACCAACAAGAUCCACAAACAUCUUGCCCAUCAUUCAUGGCAGUCAUACCUGACCUGUGUAGAUGAAGGGCAGAAGUAGCUGUAGACUUGGGUAGCUGCCAUGCCUCCCAUCAAGAUGACGUUGUGGUCCCCUGAUGUGUUUCCUCUCCUGUGUAAGCAAAGUAAAUAUUGCAUUAAAUGGAGACCAGUUUGUGUCUUGGGACUGUGGUUGCCAGCUUGAUCUCAUCACCGUAGCUGUGGCUCUGCGCUGACACCUUGAAAUGGAAGGUUAGCAUUACAAACUGGGCUAACUGGGCUUGUGCUGGGGAUGUGGGGGAUCUGAAUGGGGGUUACAGCAAUGACAAGGUGAGAAUAGGGAGAAUCAUCUGCCUCCAGGACAGGCACUGAGACUCCUGUCAGCAGUUCUGUCACAUGGUCUGGGGAAGAAGGAAGAAUAGAACUUUCAACUAUAGCUCUGGUGAGAGGUCUGAAUGAGACCAGGGGCUCUUCUUAGCUGUUUAAACAUUUUUAAAGUUUUUAUUUUAAAUAACAAAAGUUAACAGUGCUUAUAUAUGCCAAGCACCAUUCCAGAUGUUUUAUUUUAUUUACUUUUAUUAUUUUGUUUUUGAGACAGGGUCUUCCUUUGCUACCCAGGCUGCAGUUCAGUGGCGUGAUCAUGGCUCACGGCAGCCUCAACCUCCUUAGGCUCAAACGGUACUCCUAACCUCGGCCUCUCAAAGUGCUAGGAUUGCAGGAGUGAGCCAUGGCUCCUGGCCCAUUCCAGACAUUUUAUAAAUAUUAACUCAUUUAAUUCUUCCAACAACUUAAUACUAUUUAUAGUUGCCUCAUGAGAAAAUUGAGGCACAAAGAAGUUGAGUGACUUGCCCAGGUCAUGUAGGUUAGUAAAUGGUGAAGCUGAGCUUUGAAUCCAGGCAGUCUGCCUCUAGACUCCCUUCUCUAAACUCCUCUGGUUCCUAUAGCUUCACUUCACUAUUCUUCCUCAUAAGUGAUAAGUGGUUUCUGGUUUUGCUCCAGUGUUUGCGUUUCUUUGUGGCUGCUCAAGAUGAACCAAUUCUUCGGGAAAGUAAAACCCAAGGCUCCGCCACCCAGCCUGACUGACCACAUUGGCACUGUGAACAGCAGGGCAGAGUCCAUUGACAAGAAGAUUUCUCGAUUGGAUGCUGAGCUAGUGAAGUAUAAGGAUCAGAUCAAGAAGAUGAGAGAGGGUCCUGCAAAGAAUAUGGUCAAGCAGAAAGCCUUGCGAGUUUCAAAGUAAAAGUGGUUGUAUGAGCAGCAGCAGGACAAUCUUGCCCAGCAGUUGUUCAACAUGGAACAAGCCAAUUAUACCAUUCAGUAAUUGAAGGACACUAAGACCAUGGGUGAUGCUAUGAAAUUGGGAGUACAAGGAAAUGAAGAAGGCAUACAAGUGAAAAUUGACCAGAUGAGGAUUUACAAGACCAGCUAGAGGAUAUGAUGGAAGUUGCAAAUGAAAUCCAAGAAUCACUGAGUCGCAAUUAUGGCAACCCAGAACUGGAUGAAGAUGACCUGGAAGCAGAGUUGGAUGGACUGAAUGAUGAGCUUCUGGCUGAUGAAGACAGUUCUUAUUUGGAUGAGGCAGCAUGUGCACCUACAAUGCCAGAAUGUGUUUCUACCGACACAAAAACGAGGAUGGAGCUCCGGUGGAUGAAUUUGGAUUGCCACAGAUCCCUGCUUCAUAGAUUUGCAUCAUUCACGUAUAUCUUGUAAAAAAAACCACAUAUUAUGAGACUAGGAAAUAGUUAUCUUUCCAAAUUUACCACAACAGAUUUAGGUUUCUUUCCUUUCUUUGAAGGAAAGUUUAAUUACAUUGCUCUUUUAUUUUUUUCUGUUAAGAGACUCAUUGCUUGGGAAGUGUUUUCUUUUUACUAAAAUUUGAUUCCUUUUUUUCUUAUGAAAAACAAACUUGGUUUAAAAAUAUCUUUGGCUUGUAUGACUUGUUUUCAUUCAUUAUUAAUACUUUGAAAUAAAAGUAAGGAAAUGGAAUCUUAAAAAUCUAUGACAAUGUAACUCCACAGUCUUAAAAUGACCUAAUAAAUUGAUAAGACAAAGAUGAGAUUAUCAAGGCUGUUCAUAUUAUGAUUCAGAAUCAUUUUCUAUCGCAGUAUUAUAGGUUGGUUAAAGUGAUGGCCUUUUUGAUGGGUUUUGUUGUGUUUUGUGAACAAAUCAUUACUGUGUCCAAUAUUAGAAUGGAAUGAUCACUACUGUAUCAUGAGUGGGUAUUUUGAUUCUGUGGUUCCCUCAGUAUUACAUCUUGACUUGUAAUCAAUAAUGAAUAUUUCUUGAUAUUUAAGGUAUAGGACAUUUAUACUCAGUAAAUAUUUUUCAAAAGGA